GUAGGUGGCAAGCGUUGUCCGGAAUUAUUGGGCGUAAAGCGCGCGCAGGCGGUUCUUUAAGUCUGAUGUGAAAGCCCACGGCUCAACCGUGGAGGGUCAUUGGAGACUGGAGAACUUGAGUACAGAAGAGGAAAGCGGAAUUCCACGUGUAGCGGUGAAAUGCGUAGAGAUGUAGAGGAACACCAGUGGCGAAGGCGGCUUUCUGGUCUGUAACUGACGCUGAGGCGCGAAAGCGUGGGGGGGAGCAAACAGGAUUAGAUACCCUGGUAGUCCACGCCGUAAACGAUGAGUGCUAAGUGUUAGGGGGUUUCCGCCCCCCCCUUAGUGCUGCAGCUAACGCAUUAAGCACUCCGCCUGGGAGUACGGCCGCAAGGCUG
rnacentral:rRNA from 1 species